CCUACGGGAUGCAGCAGUGAGGAAUAUUGGUCAAUGGGCGGGAGCCUGAACCAGCCAAGCCGCGUGAAGGAAGAAGGCGCCAGGCGUCGUAAACUUCUUUUGUCGGGGAACAAAGGGCGCCACGUGUGGCGUUGUGAGUGUACCCGAAGAAAAAGCAUCGGCUAACUCCGUGCCAGCAGCCGCGGUAAUACGGAGGAUCCGAGCGUUAUCCGGAUUUAUUGGGUUUAAAGGGAGCGUAGGCGGGUUGUUAAGUCAGUUGUGAAAGUUUGCGGCUCAACCGUAAAAUUGCAGUUGAUACUGGCAUCCUUGAGUACAGUAGAGGUAGGCGGAAUUCGUGGUGUAGCGGUGAAAUGCUUAGAUAUCAGGAGGAACACCGGUGGCGAAGGCGGCCUGCUGGACUGCAACUGACGUUGAGGCCCGAAAGCGUGGGGAGCAAACAGGAUUAGAUACCCGUGUAGUC
rnacentral:rRNA from 1 species